GCGGGAAUAGCUCAGCGGUAGAGUGUCACCUUGCCAAGGUGAAGGUCGCGAGUUCGAAUCUCGUUUCCCGCU
rnacentral:tRNA from 1 species